rnacentral:rRNA from 1 species
AACGAACGCUGGCGGCAUGCCUAACACAUGCAAGUCGAACGAGACCUUCGGGUCUAGUGGCGCACGGGUGCGUAACGCGUGGGAAUCUGCCCCUUGGUUCGGGAAUAACAGCGAGAAAUUGCUGCUAAUACCGGAUAAUGACGUAAGUCCAAAGAUUUAUCGCCAAGGGAUGAGCCCGCGUAGGAUUAGCUAGUUGGUGUGGUAAAGGCGCACCAAGGCGACGAUCCUUAGCUGGUCUGAGAGGAUGAUCAGCCACACUGGGACUGAGACACGGCCCAGACUCCUACGGGAGGCAGCAGUGGGGAAUAUUGGACAAUGGGCGAAAGCCUGAUCCAGCAAUGCCGCGUGAGUGAUGAAGGGCCUUAGGGUUGGUUAAAGAUCUUUACCGGGUAACGAUAAUGACUGUACCGGGACGGAAAGUAAAGACCCC